rnacentral:misc_RNA from 1 species
AACGCACAUUGCGCCCCGUGGUAUUCCGCGGGGCAUGCCUGUUCGAGCGUCAUUUACACCCUCAAGCUCCGCUUGGUGUUGGGCGUCUGUCCUCGCCCCCGUGCGAGGACUCGCCUCAAAGCGAUUGGCGGCUGGUGCCGUGGCCUGGAGCGCAGCAGAAUUGCGCGCCUUGCCCUCGGUGCGGCUCCCACAAGCACAUCUUUCACAGUUUGACCUCGAAUCAGGUAGGGAUACCCGCUGAACUUAA